CAGUCGCCACGGGAAUACGGAGGGUGCAAGCGUUAUCCGGAUUUAUUGGGUUUAAAGGGUCCGUAGGCGGACUUAUAAGUCAGUGGUGAAAGCCUGUCGCUUAACGAUAGAACUGCCAUUGAUACUGUAAGUCUUGAGUAUAUUUGAGGUAGCUGGAAUAAGUAGUGUAGCGGUGAAAUGCAUAGAUAUUACUUAGAACACCAAUUGCGAAGGCAGGUUACCAAGAUAUAACUGACGCUGAGGGACGAAAGCGUGGGUAGCGAACAGGAUUAGAUACCCCCGUAGUCCCUGUCUCUUAUAA
rnacentral:rRNA from 1 species